rnacentral:rRNA from 1 species
UAAUACAUAAGGAGCAAGCGUUGCUCGGAAUUACUGGGCGUGAAGGGUGUGUAGGUGGCUGAGCAAGUCACGGAUGAAAUCCCGAGGCUCAACCUCGGAAUUGCCCCUGAAACUGCUCAGCUUGAGGAUAGUGGAGGAAAACGGAAUUCCCGGUGGAGCGGUGAAAUGCGUAGAUAUCGGGAGGAACACCAGAGGCGAAGGCGGCUUUCUAUGCUAUUCCUGACACUGAGACACGAAAGCUAGGGGAGCAAACGGGAUUAGAUACCCCGGUAGUCCUAGCUGUAAACGAUGGGCACUAGAUGUUUCUGCUUUAAGCGGGAGUGUCGAAGUUAACGCGUUAAGUGCCCCGCCUGGGGAGUACGGUCGCAAGGCUG